AUGAGUGUAUUUUGCACGGCCUUAAGCCUUUGCUUCUGCUUCUUCAGACUCCUCGCGGUGGCAAUAAGCCUUCUGUGGAGGUUCUCUUGUUCCAAUUCGGCCAAGGGCCUCCUGACAAGGAGAGAGAUCUUAAUGAGUUUAGUAAAUCGCCCAGGGGCGAGUGCUGAAAGAUAUCCGCGGAGGAAAACUCCAUGA
rnacentral:rRNA from 1 species